rnacentral:rRNA from 1 species
AAAACUCCGGUGGUAUAAGAUGGACCCGCGUCCGAUCAGCUGGUUGGUGGGGUAACGGCCCACCAAGGCGACGAUCGGUAGCCGACCUGAGAGGGUGACCGGCCACAUUGGGACUGAGACACGGCCCAAACUCCUACGGGAGGCAGCAGUGGGGGAUAUUGCACAAUGGGGGGAACCCUGAUGCAGCGACGCCGCGUGAGUGAAGGAGUACUCCGGUAUGUAAAGCUCUAUCAGCAGGGAAGAAGCAAGACGGUACCUGACCAAGAAGCCCCGGCUAACUACGUGCCAGCAGCCGCGGUAAUACGUAGGGGGCGAGCGUUAUCCGGAUUCACUGGGUGUAAAGGGAGCGUAGACGGCCGAUCAAGUCUGGAGUGAAAGCCCGGGGCCCAACCCCGGGACUGCUCUGGAAACUGGUGGGCUAGAGUGCUGGAGAGGUAAGUGGAAUUCCUAGUGUAGCGGUGAAAUGCGUAGAUAUUAGGAGGAACACCAGUGGCGAAGGCGGCUUACUGGACAGUGACUGACGUUGAGGCUCGAAAGCGUGGGGAGCAAACAGGAUUAGAUACCCUGGUAGUCCACGCCGUAAACGAUGGAUACUAGGUGUCGGUGGGCAAAG